UUGCUAUAAUUGUCAGCUAAGUGGCGCACGGGUGAGUAAUGUAUAGAUAACCUGCCCUUAAGAAAGGAAUAACAGUUGGAAACGACUGCUAAUGCCCUAUAUGCCUUUAAUACAUAAGUAUGCAAGGGAAACGCUUUAGUGCCUAAGGAUGGGUCUGUAUGGUAUCAGCUUGUUGGUGAGGUAAUGGCUCACCAAGGCUAUGACGCCUAACUGGUUUGAGAGGAUGAUCAGUCACACUGGAACUGAGACACGGUCCAGACUCCUACGGGAGGCAGCAGUGGGGAAUAUUGCACAAUGGACGAAAGUCUGAUGCAGCAACGCCGCGUGGAGGAUGACACAUUUCGGUGCGUAAACUCCUUUUAUAUAGGAAGAUAAUGACGGUACUAUAUGAAUAAGCACCGGCUAACUCCGUGCCAGCAGCCGCGGUAAUACGGAGGGUGCAAGCGUUACUCGGAAUCACUGGGCGUAAAGAGCGUGUAGGCGGGUAUAUAAGUCGGAAGUGAAAUCCAAUAGCUCAACUAUUGAACUGCUUUUGAAACUGUAUACCUAGAAUGUGGGAGAGGUAGAUGGAAUUUCUGGUGUAGGGGUAAAAUCCGUAGA
rnacentral:rRNA from 1 species